rnacentral:rRNA from 1 species
UACGGGGGGAGCAAGCGUUGUUCGGAUUUACUGGGCGUAAAGGGCGCGUAGGCGGCCUCCGCAAGUCAGUUGUGAAAUCUCCGAGCUUAACUCGGAAAGGUCAACUGAUACUGCGGGGCUAGAGUGCGGAAGGGGCAACUGGAAUUCUUGGUGUAGCGGUGAAAUGCGUAGAUAUCAAGAGGAACACCUGCGGCGAAGGCGGCAUCCUGGACCGACAUUGACGCUGAUGAGCGAAAGCUAGGGGAGCAAACGGG